UACGUAGGGGGCGAGCGUUGUCCGGAAUUAUUGGGCGUAAAGAGCGUGUAGGCGGUUCGGUAAGUCUGCCGUGAAAACCUGGGGCUCAACCCCGGGCGUGCGGUGGAUACUGCCGGGCUAGAGGGUGGUAGAGGCGAGUGGAAUUCCCGGUGUAGCGGUGAAAUGCGCAGAUAUCGGGAGGAACACCAGUAGCGAAGGCGGCUCUCUGGGACGGUACUGACGCUGAGACGCGAAAGCGUGGGGAGCGAACAGG
rnacentral:rRNA from 1 species